rfam:Beta vulgaris subsp. vulgaris contig104261.1, whole genome shotgun sequence.
GCCGUUGUGUCCGAGUGGUCAAGGAGGCAGACUUGAAAUCUGCUGGGUUCUGCCCACGCGAGUUCGAAUCUCGUCGACGGCU